rnacentral:rRNA from 1 species
UGGGGAAUAUUGGACAAUGGGGGCAACCCUGAUCCAGCCAUGCCGCGUGUGUGAAGAAGGCCUUUUGGUUGUAAAGCACUUUAAGCAGUGAAGAAGACUCCAUGGUUAAUACCCAUGGACGAUGACAUUAGCUGCAGAAUAAGCACCGGCUAACUCUGUGCCAGCAGCCGCGGUAAUACAGAGGGUGCAAGCGUUAAUCGGAAUUACUGGGCGUAAAGCGAGCGUAGGUGGCCUGAUAAGUCAGAUGUGAAAGCCCCGGGCUUAACCUGGGAACGGCAUCUGAUACUGUUAGGCUAGAGUAGGUGAGAGGAAGGUAGAAUUCCAGGUGUAGCGGUGAAAUGCGUAGAGAUCUGGAGGAAUACCGAUGGCGAAGGCAGCCUUCUGGCAUCAUACUGACACUGAGGUUCGAAAGCGUGGGUAGCAAACA